AAUCCCUCCUGGCAGAAAACUCGGACAUCACCAGAAAAGCCGUUUGUGGGGCGCAUCAAACCAAAACCAGACGUCUGUGAUCGAAACCACUGUGAAGAGUUCAGUUUCUAUGUUUAUUAUCUAGCUAAUAUCUGAUGGUGAAACGCUGUGCGUGGGGUACCUGUAAUUCGGACACCAGGUACCCUGAAAGACUGGAUGGAGGAGUAUAUUUCGUACCUUUUCCGAAGCCCAAAACAAAACUCGACAAAUGAAAGCGGUGGAUUAUGCUGUGUCGUCGACCACAUACACAACUGAAUGUGAAGACAAUUACCAAGGACACUUAUGUUUGCUCAAAGCACUUCAGAGAUGGGAAGCCAACUCUGGAAUAUCCAGAUCCCAUCCGGGCUCUCGUGUGUACUGCUCCGAAAAGACACAGACCCUCACCCAAAAAAAGGUAACGUUACAGUCAGCCAGGUGCAUAACAGUGAAAAUGAUGACCAACAAGGACAGUUAUAGAUUUAAUGUAGUGACCACCACUGCUAACAUUCAACAUCAUAUUAUAAUUUCAAUGGUUACACAACAGUCACCACUACACACGACAGGCAACAAGAUUAUAUAUUUGAUAUAAAGAAAUACAUGGCUACCUUUUUACUCUUGCUUUUAACUGUUAACUUUCAUCUGCUGUUGCUUUUAUUAGCUCUUUCUUCUAUUUUAAUGUUAUUUUUAACUUGAACUCCCCCCGCGGCCAUUGUCAACAGUCAUUCACGGUCGGCUUUGUUUGUCCGAGUUUUCAAAGGGGGCGUGGCUUAGCGAUAGGUCUAUUGUCCAAGUGGUUCGACGCUUCAUUCAAAGCUUCAUUUUGCCAUCACUAGUGUGAAGCAUUAAUUCUAUGUAUAGUGUGACGACCCCUCCACACCGCGUGGGGUGCCGUCUGGUUGUGUGUGUGUUUUGUGUGUGAUUGCAGGUUCCAGCUGCAGCUGUCUGAUGAGGCGCACCUGCCGGAUGAGCUACACCUGAAUCAAACAGAAUAUAGGAGGAGCCCAGCAGGUUACGUGGCCCUCACUCCUCUGGGCACUCUCUCUCUACGCCAGCUUCGAGGACCUGUUGCUGGUGUUCAUUUAGUUGACGUGUUACAAAUAAACGUAUAUUCGUACCUCUCGUCUCGCCUCCCUGCUUUUUGUUGCAGCCCAGGAGCCGGGUUGUAACAGAUGGGGGCUCGUUGCUUUGGACCUGGGAAGCGUGUGCAACUGGAUGUCCGUUGUGGGGACGGAUUUCGCGCAGCUGCUGUUGUCGCUGGGUGCGGCUGGUUGUUUUGGGAGUAGCGUUGCGGGGCAAUGGCGGAUCGUGGAGCCUCUCAUUCGU